rnacentral:rRNA from 1 species
UCCCUGUUUAUCAAAAACUGGUUUCUUGAUUUUAUUUAAGAAAUUUAACCUGCCCCCUGAAAAUUUUUUUUUGAAGGGCCGCAGUAUUUUGACUGUGCAAAGGUAGCAUAAUCAUUAGUCUUUUAAUUAAAGGCUGGAAUGAAUGGUUGGAUGAGGUGAAAUCUGUUUUAUAUUUAUUGUAAUUGAAUUUAGAUUUUAAGUAAAAAGACUUAAAUGUUAUUAAGGGACGAGAAGACCCUAUAGAGUUUAAUAAAUUUAAUAAUUAAUUAAGUUAUGAAAGAAAAAAUUUUUGAUUUUUAUGACAUUUAUUUAAUUGGGGUGAUUAGAAGAUAAAAUAACUCUUCUUUAAAUUUAAUAUAAUAAUUAGUUAUAUGAUCCAUAAUUAAUGAUUGAAAGAUUAAACUACCUUAGGGAUAACAGCAUAAUUUUUUUUAAGAGUUCAAAUCGAAAAAAAAGAUUGUGACCUCGAUGUUGGAUUAAGAUUAGUUUUAGGUGUAGAUGUUUAUAGAACUAGGUCUGUUCGACCUUUAAAAUCUUACAUGAUCUGAGUUCAAACCGGAGA